AUGAACUUUGGUCUUCUCUGCAAUCCAUCUGGAGCAUUCACUGACAACAUCGACUUUGAAGUUGCACUGACCUGGCCAGCCCUGCCACUUACCAGGUUGGGCUGUGGCUUGCCUUUUCACUUCUUGUGUCCUGUUUAAGAAAUAUCUGCUAUCCCAAGCAUCUGGCAUCUUUCUUGACAUAUGUAGCAGUUGCUUUUUGACAGCUUGCUUCUUCAGUGAAUGAAUAAAUUAAUAAAGAGAAAUGUGAUGUUCAGUGAUCCAUUUUGCAGGCUCUUGAGUUUCUGCUUUCAAGUGACCCUCAGAAAUUCCUCCAUUCACUGCAGAGGUUCUGUUUCUCCUUGCUUUGUUCUGACUUUACGGCAGAACUAAGCUAAUGAGUUAGUUACUAUGGGUUAUCACUUGGAUUUGAAGAACCAUCAUUUCUAGGCAUUGCUGCUCAGAGUGGGUCUGCCCUCAGGGGAAGCUGUCUAACCAGAGCCUAACCCACUAGGGUUUUAUCAGAACCUAACUGACCUGAGGAAAAGAAAUACUCAACUCCAGCAAGCUCCAGCCUUCCAAAUGGAGGAGGAGAAAACCCAACUCCAGCCCACUUCAGCUAUCUUGUCCCACAUAAAGGGGAAGUGGAAGAAACCUGAGAAGCAGGCAUGAAGUUCACAGUCCAGAGGUACAGACACAUCAGAGUUCAGUAUCUGAUGAAUUAGAUGCAAAAACCUCAACAAAGUAUUAGCAAAUUGAAUUCAACAAUGUAUGAAAAUUAUUACAUGCCAUGACUAAUUGGAAUUUAUCUCAGGUAUACAAGCCACGCUGAACAUCUGAAAAUCAAUUCAUGUGAUCCAUCACAUUAGCAGACUCAAGAAAAAAAACCACAUUAUCAUAUCAGUAGAUGUAGAAAAAAAAAAUUAACAAAAUCCAGCACCCAUUCACAAUGAAAAUGCCCAGUAAAUUAGAAAUAGAAGGUAACUUCCUCAAAUUGAUAAGGAAUAUCUCUAAAAACCUACAACUAAAAUCAUACUUAAUGGUAGAAAACUAGAAGCCUUCCCAGUAAGAGUAAGAACAAGUCAAAGAUGUAUGCUCUCACCAAUGCUUUUCAACAUCAUAUUGGAAGUCCUAGCUAGUGCAAUAAGCAAAAAAAAAAAAAAA
rnacentral:lncRNA from 1 species